CCUACGGGGGGCUGCAGUCGAGGAUCUUCGUCAAUGGGCGAAAGCCUGAACGAGCGAUGCCGCGUGUGCGAUGAAGGCCUUCGGGUUGUAAAGCACGAAAGAGAUGAGAAAGGGCAACUUGAUCGAAUCUCAGUAAGCUCGGGCUAAGUUCGUGCCAGCAGCCGCGGUAAGACGAACCGAGCGAACGUUGUUCGGAAUCACUGGGCUUAAAGGGCGCGUAGGCGGGCGGCUAAGUCUGUGUUGAAAUCCUCCAGCUCAACUGGAGAACUGGCAUGGAUACUGGUCGUCUCGAGGAAGGUAGGGGUACGUGGAACUAUCGGUGGAGCGGUGAAAUGCGUUGAUAUCGAUAGGAACUCCGGUGGCGAAGGCGACGUACUGGACCUUUUCUGACGCUGAGGCGCGAAAGCCAGGGGAGCAAACGGGAUUAGAUACCCCUGUAGUC
rnacentral:rRNA from 1 species